CGACGCGCAGCGAAAGGUGCUUGCACCUUUCAAGCGAGUGGCGAACGGGUGAGUAACACGUGGAUAACCUGCCUCAAGGCUGGGGAUAACAUUUGGAAACAGAUGCUAAUACCGAAUAAAACUUAGUAUCGCAUGAUACAAAGUUGAAAGGCGCUACGGCGUCACCUAGAGAUGGGUCCGCGGUGCAUUAGUUAGUUGGUGGGGUAAAGGCCUACCAAGACAAUGAUGCAUAGCCGAGUUGAGAGACUGAUCGGCCACAUUGGGACUGAGACACGGCCCAAACUCCUACGGGAGGCUGCAGUAGGGAAUCUUCCACAAUGGGCGAAAGCCUGAUGGAGCAACGCCGCGUGUGUGAUGAAGGCUUUAGGGUCGUAAAGCACUGUUGUAUGGGAAGAAAUGCUAGAAUAGGGAAUGAUUCUAGUUCGACGGUACCAUACCAGAAAGGGACGGCUAAAUACGUGCCAGCAGCCGCGGUAAUACGUAUGUCCCGAGCGUUAUCCGGAUUUAUUGGGCGUAAAGCGAGCGCAGACGGUUGAUUAAGUCUGAUGUGAAAGCCCGGAGCUCAACUCCGGAAUGGCAUUGGAAACUGGUUAACUUGAGUGUUGUAGAGGUAAGUGGAACUCCAUGUGUAGCGGUGGAAUGCGUAGAUAUAUGGAAGAACACCAGUGGCGAAGGCGGCUUACUGGACAACAACUGACGUUGAGGCUCGAAAGUGUGGGUAGCAAACAGGAUUAGAUACCCUGGUAGUCCACACCGUAAACGAUGAAUACUAGGUGUUAGGAGGUUUCCGCCUCUUAGUGCCGAAGCUAACGCAUUAAGUAUUCCGCCUGGGGAGUACGACCGCAAGGUUGAAACUCAAGGAAUUGACGGGGACCCGCACAAGCGGUGGAGCAUGUGGUUUAAUUCGAAGCAACGCGAAGAACCUUACCAGGUCUUGACAU
rnacentral:rRNA from 1 species